rnacentral:rRNA from 1 species
AGUAACGCGUGGAUUAUCCGCCCUGAGGUGGGGGAUAACCCGGGGAAACUCGGGCUAAUACCGCAUAUGACCGUGAGGUCAAAGUGGGGUCGCAAGAUCUCUCGCCAUAGGAGGAGUCCGCGUCCGAUUAGCUAGUUGGUAGGGUAAUGGCCUACCAAGGCGACGAUCGGUAGCUGGUCUGAGAGGAUGAUCAGCCACACUGGGACUGAGACACGGCCCAG